rnacentral:rRNA from 1 species
CCUGGUUGAUCCUGCCAGUAGCAUAUGCUUGUCUCAAAGAUUAAGCCAUGCAUGUCUAAGUGAAUGGCUCAUUAAAUCAGUUGUGGUUCCUUUGAUCGCUAGCUCCUCUCCUACUUGGAUAACUGUGGUAAUUCUGGAGCUAAUACAUGCCGAUGGGGGCUGACCCCCCCUCGUGGGGGUGAUGUGUGCAUUUAUCAGAUCAAAACAAACCCAGUCAGCCUCCCCCUGGCCCCGGCCAGGGGGCGGGCGCCGGUGGCUUUGGUGACUCUAGAUAACCUCGGGCUGAUCGCACACCCACCCCCCGUGGUGGCGACGACCCAUUUGAAUGUCUGCCCUAUCAACUUUCGAUGGUAGUCUCUGUGCCUACCAUGGUGACCACGGGUGACGGGAAUCAGGGUUCAAUUCUGGAGAAGGGGCCUGAGAAACGGCUACCACAUCCAAGGAAGGCAGCAGGCGAGCAAAUUACCCACUCCCGACCCGGGGAGGUAGUGAUGAAAAAUAACAAUACAGGACCCUUUUGAGGUCCUUUAAUUGGAAUGAGUCCACUUUAAAUCCUUUAACAAGGAUCCAUUGGAGGGCAAGUCUGGUGCCAGCAGCCGCGGUAAUUCCAGCUCCAAUAGCGUAUAUUAAAGUUGCUGCAGUUAAAAAGCUCCUAGUUGGAUCUUGGGAGCGGGCGGGAAGUCCGCCUUGAGGCGAGGUGAGCCACCACCUGUCCCCACCCCUUGCCUCUAGGCGCCCCCUCGAUGCUCUUAGCUGAGUGUCCCGCGGGGCCUGAAGUGUUUACUUUGAAAAAAUUAGGGUGUUCAAAGCGGGCCGAGCCGCCUGGAUACUGCAGCUAGGGAUAAUGGAAUAGGACUGUGGUUCUAUUUGGUUGGUUUUCGGAACUGAGGCCUUGAUUAAGAGGGAUGGCCAGGGGCAUUCGUAUUGCGCCGCUAGAGGUGAAAUUCUUGGACAGGCGCAAAGCGUCUGAGCGAAAGCAUUUGCCAAGAAUGUUUUCAUUAAUCAAGAACGAAAGUCGGAGGUUCGAAGACGAUCAGAUACCGUCAUAGUUCCGACCAUAAACGAUGCCAACUGGCGAUGCAGCGGCUUAUUCCCAUGACCCGCCGGGCAGCUUCCGGGAAACCAAAGCCUUUGGGUUCCGGGGGGGAGUAUGGUUGCAAAGCUGAAACUUAAAGGAAAUGACAGAGGGGCACCACCAGGAGUGGAGCCUGUGGCUUAAUUUGAUUCAACACGGGAAACCUCACCCCACCCCAGACAUGGACAAGAUUGACAGAUUGAUAGCUCUUUCUCGAUUCCGUGGGUAGUGGUGCAUGGCCGUUCUUAGUUGGUGGAGCGAUUUGUCUGGUUAAUUCUGAUAACAAAUGAGACUCUGGCAUGCUAACUAGUUACGCGACCCCCGAGUGGUCGGUGUCCCCCAACUUCUUAGAGGGACAAGUGGCGUUCAGCCACCAGAGAUUGAGCAAUAACAGGUCUGUGAUGCCCUUAGAUGUCCGGGGCUGCACGCACGCUACACUGACUGGCUCAGUGUGUGCCUACCCAACAAUGGCAGGCGCGGGUAACCCGUUGAACUCCAUUCGUGUUGGGGAUCAGGGAUUGCAAUUAUUCCCCAUGAACGAGGAAUUCCCACUAAGUGAGGGUCAUAAGCUUGUGUUGAUUAAGUCCCUGCCCUUUGUACACACCGCCCAUCGCUACUACCGAUUGCAUGGUUUAGUGAGGCCCUCGGAUCGGCCCCACCGGGGUCGGCCCACGGCCCUGGUGGAGUGCUGAGAAGAUGGUUGAAUUUGACUAUCUAGAGGAAGUAAAAGUAACAAGGUUUCCGUAGGUGAACCUGCGGAAG